CCUACGGGGGGCAGCAGUGGGGAAUAUUGGACAAUGGGCGAAAGCCUGAUCCAGCCAUGCCGCGUGUGUGAAGAAGGCCUUCGGGUUGUAAAGCACUUUCAGUGGGGAAGAAAGCCUUGGGGCUAAUACCCUCGAGGAAGGACAUCACCCACAGAAGAAGCACCGGCUAACUCCGUGCCAGCAGCCGCGGUAAUACGGAGGGUGCGAGCGUUAAUCGGAAUUACUGGGCGUAAAGCGCGCGUAGGCGGUCUGAUAAGCCGGUUGUGAAAGCCCCGGGCUCAACCUGGGAACGGCAUCCGGAACUGUCAGGCUAGAGUGCAGGAGAGGAAGGUAAAAUUCCCGGUGUAGCGGUGAAAUGCGUAGAGAUCGGGAGGAAUACCAGUGGCGAAGGCGGCCUUCUGGACUGACACUGACGCUGAGGUGCGAAAGCGUGGGUAGCAAACAGGAUUAGAUACCCGUGUAGUC
rnacentral:rRNA from 1 species